CCUUCUCUCCCGUGUCGCUCUCCUCCCGAGCGGCCCUCUCUGGAGCUCCCGAACGUCACGCGAUCGCCUCCUCUCGCGAAUGGUCGAUCUGUUUUCUCCCCUUGCAGCGCGGGCAACUUGUAAGUCUCCUCUCCUCUCUGGCGAUGGAUAAUCUCCGUUCAUCUUCCUCACAAGAUCUUUUGUUCUGAGUUGUGUCCCCAUUCCAGACCACGAUAUUUCUUGUCCGUUUUUCAUUGACCAGGGUGGUCUAGAAUUCUUUAAACCGUGAUGGAUGAUUCUAUUGGUUUCACUGAUCAAAGAAAUUAGCAGAUCAGGGAGGGAGGUGUUGAUUUUGUGCUAUCCUACCAAGUUUCACAGAAAAUUAUCUCCCACCAAGCUCAAAAAGCUAUUAUUGAGGUAUCUCUGGAAUAUCGAGAAGAUUUUUCAAGGCUUCAGGUGCUGAAUCAGGCGAGUUAGAAAUUAUUAAGUUAAUAUCCAAAAUCCAUUCCUUGGGCUUUGAGAA